rnacentral:rRNA from 1 species
GAUGAACGCUGGCGGCGUGCCUAAUACAUGCAAGUCGAGCGAACGGACGAGAAGCUUGCUUCUCUGAUGUUAGCGGCGGACGGGUGAGUAACACGUGGAUAACCUACCUAUAAGACUGGGAUAACUUCGGGAAACCGGAGCUAAUACCGGAUAAUAUUUUGAACCGCAUGGUUCAAAAGUAAAAGACGGUCUUGCUGUCACUUAUAGAUGGAUCCGCGCUGCAUUAGCUAGUUGGUAAGGUAACGGCUUACCAAGGCAACGAUGCAUAGCCGACCUGAGAGGGUGAUCGGCCACACUGGAACUGAGACACGGUCCAGACUCCUACGGGAGGCAGCAGUAGGGAAUCUUCCGCAAUGGGCGAAAGCCUGACGGAGCAACGCCGCGUGAGUGAUGAAGGUCUUCGGAUCGUAAAACUCUGUUAUUAGGGAAGAUCAUAUGUGUAAGUAACUGUGCACAUCUUGACGGUACCUAAUCAGAAAGCCACGGCUAACUACGUG